ACUCAAUAGAUACCCUGGUAGUCCACGCCGUAAACGAUGAGUGCUAAGUGUUAGAGGGUUUCCGCCCUUUAGUGCUGCAGCUAACGCAUUAAGCACUCCGCCUGGGGAGUACGGUCGCAAGACUGAAACUCAAAGGAAUUGACGGGGGCCCGGCCACAAGCGGUGGAGCAUGUGGUUUAAUUUACGAAGCAACGCGAAGAACCUUACCAGGUCUUGACAUCCUCUGACAACUCUAGAGAUAGAGCGUUCCCCUUCCGGGGGUACGAGAGUGACAGGUGGUGCAUGGUUGUCGUCAGCUCGUGUCGUGAGAUGUUGGGUUAAGUCCCGCAACGAGCGCAACCCUUGAUCUUAGUUGCCAGCAUUUAGUUGGGUCACUCUAAGGUGACUGCCGGUGACAAACCGGAGGAAGGUGGGGAUGACGUCAAAUCAUCAUGCCCCUUAUGACCUGGGUCUACACACGUGCUACAAUGGAUGGUACAAAGGGCUGCAAGACCGCGAGGUCAAGCCAAUCCCAUAAAA
rnacentral:rRNA from 1 species